rnacentral:lncRNA from 1 species
GCAAGUUGGACUUAUAAUUUGGAUGAAUUGUUUUCAUAUUGGGACGGCUUGCCAUGACAUCUAUAGAGUGGCCAUGUCAUUAGGUUCAGUUAGCAUUUGAAUAAAGCUGAUGACUAGAGGGUCCUCUUGGGUUAGCCCUCACUCAUAGAUCCUGAUCUUUAGUCCAGAUGAAUGUUGACGGGCUUUAGGGGUCCUUGUUGGUUAUCCCCCACUUGUAAGUUCUGAUCUUUGGCCCAGAUGAAUGUCGACGGGCUUCGAGGGUUCUCGUUGGUUACCCCCUGCUUGUAGGUUCCAAUCUUUGGUCUGGAUGAAUGUCGAUAGGCUUCGAGGCUUCUUGUCAGUUACCCCUCGCUUGUAGGUUCCGAUCUUUGGCCCGGAUGAAUGUUGAUGGGCUUUGGGGGUUCUCGUUGGCUCCCCCCCGCUUGUACAUUCUGAUCUUUGACUCGAAUGAAUGUCGACGGGCUUCGGGGGUUCUCAUUGUUUACCCCCUGCUUCUCUUGAUUAUUAAAGUUUUUUUGGGCGUUGACCCAUUGAAGUGCAGCUUCGACCUUCAGGGAUCCUUAAGGGUUAGCUCCUACUUCUUAGUAGCAGAGGUUUCUGCUACU